AACGAACGCUGGCGGCAUGCCUAACACAUGCAAGUCGAACGAGACCUUCGGGUCUAGUGGCGCACGGGUGCGUAACGCGUGGGAACCUGCCCUUAGGUUCGGAAUAACUCCCCGAAAGGGGUGCUAAUACCGGAUAAUGUCUUCGGACCAAAGAUUUAUCGCCUUUGGAUGGGCCCGCGUUGGAUUAGCUAGUUGGUAGGGUAAAAGCCUACCAAGGCGACGAUCCAUAGCUGGUCUGAGAGGAUGAUCAGCCACACUGGGACUGAGACACGGCCCAGACUCCUACGGGAGGCAGCAGUGCGGAAUAUUGGACAAUGGGGGAAAGCCUGAUGCAGCAAUGCCGCUUGAGUGAUGAAGGCCUUAGGGUUGUAAAGCGCAUUUACCCAGGAUGAUAAUGACAGUACCGGGAGAAUAAGCUCCGGCUAACUCCGUG
rnacentral:rRNA from 1 species